UUUUCAGUUUUCUGUUAAUCUUAGAGUACUAUCCAUGUUUGGGGGAUGGUGAAAACUGACCAAGUAAGAACAACAACAGCAAUAACAAAAAUUUGGAUAUGCUUGCACGUUAAGAGGAGUCACAUCAACGAAUAAUAUCAUUUCCAGGAACUUUUUUGUUUGUUUUCGUGAACCGCAUCUGACAAAGAAGACCCGACACCUGUGGGUGCACGUGGUCCAGCAUGUGGAUUCAAGCAACUACUUACGUAACAUCACGUGAGAUCCAGCUGCUUGGAAACGUUACAAAGGGAACACCUAUGAAAAUCCUCGAGAGCAAGAACGUUAUGCAAAACAUGCUUGGUAAUAAUAACACAGAAGCGAAACGUUGAA